GACGAACGCUGGCGGCGUGCUUAACACAUGCAAGUCGAACGGAAAGGCCCUGCUUUUGUGGGGUGCUCGAUAGGCGAGCGGGUGAGUAACACGUGAGUAACCUGCCCUUGACAUUGGGGUAACUUUAGGAAACUGGGGCUCAUAUCGGAUAGGAGCUCCUGCUGCAUGGUGGGGGUUGGUAAGUUUCGGCGGUUGGGGCUGGACUCGCGGCUUCUCCGCUUGAUGGGGGGGUAGGGGCUGACCAAGGCUUUGACGGGUAGCCGGCCUGGGAGCGUGGCCGGCCACCUGAGGCCUGAGGGACGGCCCAGAAUCCUACCGGAGGCAGCAGGGGAGAACAUUACGGAGCGGGCGGAAGUCAGAGGCGAAAACCCCCCGUGCGGGAUGACGGCCUUCGAGUUGUAAACCGCUUUCGCCGUUGACGAAGAGGGAUUGACGGUAAUGGGUAAAGAAGCACCGGCUAACUACGUG
rnacentral:rRNA from 1 species